GAUGAAGAACGUAGCGAAAUGCGAUACUUGGUGUGAAUUGCAGAAUCCCGUGAACCAUCGAGUCUUUGAACGCAAGUUGCGCCCGAAGCCAUCAGGUUGAGGGCACGUCUGCCUGGGCGUCACAUAUCGUUGCCCAAUGCCUAUUGCAGUGCAAUAGGAAUUUCUAGGGCGAAUGAUGGCUUCCCGUGAGCGUUGUUGCCUCGCGGUUGGUUGAAAAUCGAGUCCUUGGUAGGGUGUGCCAUGGUAGAUGGUGGUCGAGUUAGAACGAUACCGAUCAUGUGCAUGCUCCCCAAAAUAUGGCCUCUAUGACCCACACACGUCUUUUGACGCUCCUGACGAGACCUCAGGUCAGGCGGGGCUACCCGCUGAAUUUAAGCAUAUCAAUAAGCGGAGGA
rnacentral:misc_RNA from 1 species